AUUGAACGCUGGCGGCAGGCCUAACACAUGCAAGUCGAACGAGUGGCGGACGGGUGAGUAAUGUCUGGGAAACUGCCCGAUGGAGGGGGAUAACUACUGGAAACGGUCGCUAAUACCGCAUACCAUCGGAUGUGCCCAGAUGGGAUUAGCUAGUAGGUGGGGUAACGGCUCACCUGGGCGACGAUCCCUAGCUGGUCUGAGAGGCUGACCAGCCACACUAGAACUGGGACAAGGUCCAGACUCCUACGCGAAGCAGCAGUGGGGAAUAUGGCACAAUGGGGCCAAGCCUUAUGCAGCCAUGCCGCGUGUAUGAAGAAGGCCUUCGGGUUGUAAAGUACUUUCAGCGAGGAGGCGUUGCUCGCAGAAGAAGCACCGGCUAACUCCGUGCCAGCAGCCGCGGUAAUAC
rnacentral:rRNA from 1 species